GAUGAACGCUGGCGGCGUGCUUAACACAUGCAAGUCGAACGAAGCACUUAUCUUUGAUUCUUCGGAUGAAGAGGUUUGUGACUGAGUGGCGGACGGGUGAGUAACGCGUGGGUAACCUGCCUCAUACAGGGGGAUAACAGUUAGAAAUGACUGCUAAUACCGCAUAAGACCACGGAGCCGCAUGGCUCCGUGGGAAAAACUCCGGUGGUAUGAGAUGGACCCGCGUCUGAUUAGGUAGUUGGUGGGGUAACGGCCUACCAAGCCGACGAUCAGUAGCCGACCUGAGAGGGUGACCGGCCACAUUGGGACUGAGACACGGCCCAAACUCCUACGGGAGGCAGCAGUGGGGAAUAUUGCACAAUGGGGGAAACCCUGAUGCAGCGACGCCGCGUGAGCGAAGAAGUAUUUCGGUAUGUAAAGCUCUAUCAGCAGG
rnacentral:rRNA from 1 species